rnacentral:rRNA from 1 species
UAAUACGUAGGGGGCGAGCGUUGUCCGGAUUCACUGGGCGUAAAGGGCGCGCAGGCGGCCGCGUCAGCCCGUCGCGAAAGCCCCCGGCUCAACUGGGGGAGGUCGGCGGGGACGGCGCGGCUUAGAGGCCGGUAGGGGGGCACGGAAUUCCCGGUGUAGUGGUGAAAUGCGUAGAGAUCGGGAGGAACACCAGUGGCGAAGGCGGUGCCCUGGGCCGGGCCUGACGCUGAGGCGCGAAAGCGUGGGGAGCGAACCGGAUUAGAUACCCGGGUAGUCCACGCCCUAAACGGUGGCCACUAGGUGCGGGGGGUAUCGACCCCCUCCGUGCCGCAGCUAACGCAUUAAGUGGCCCGCCUGGGGAGUACGGCCGCAAGGCUA